rnacentral:rRNA from 1 species
AUUGAACGCUGGCGGCAGGCUUAACACAUGCAAGUCGAGCGGGGGAGGUUGCUUCGGUAACUGACCUAGCGGCGGACGGGUGAGUAAUGCUUAGGAAUCUGCCUAUUAGUGGGGGACAACAUUCCGAAAGGGAUGCUAAUACCGCAUACGCCCUACGGGGGAAAGCAGGGGAUCUUCGGACCUUGCGCUAAUAGAUGAGCCUAAGUCGGAUUAGCUAGUUGGUGGGGUAAAGGCCUACCAAGGCGACGAUCUGUAGCGGGUCUGAGAGGAUGAUCCGCCAAACUGGGACUGAGGCACGGCCCAGACUCCUACGGGAGGCAGCAGUGGGGAAUAGUGGACAAUGGGCGGAAGCCUGAUCCAGCCAUGCCGCGUGUGUGAAGAAGGCCUUUUGGUUGUAAAGCACUUUAAGCGAGGAGGAGGCUACUAGUGCUAAUACUACUGGAUAGUGGACGUUACUCGCAGAAUAAGCACCGGCUAACUCUGUGCCAGCAGCCGCCGUAAGAC